UACGGGGGGGGCAAGCGUUGUUCGGAAUUACUGGGCGUAAAGGGCUCGUAGGCGGCCAACUAAGUCAUACGUGAAAUCCCUCGGCUUAACCGGGGAACUGCGUCCGAUACUGGUGGGCUUGAAUCCGGGAGAGGGAUGCGGAAUUCCAGGUGUAGCGGUGAAAUGCGUAGAUAUCUGGAGGAACACCGGUGGCGAAGGCGGCAUCCUGGACCGGCAUUGACGCUGAGGCGCGAAAGCUAGGGGAGCAAACGGG
rnacentral:rRNA from 1 species